rnacentral:rRNA from 1 species
GAUGAACGCUGGCGGCGUGCCUAAUACAUGCAAGUCGAGCGAACAGACGAGGAGCUUGCUCCUCUGACGUUAGCGGCGGACGGGUGAGUAACACGUGGAUAACCUACCUAUAAGACUGGGAUAACUUCGGGAAACCGGAGCUAAUACCGGAUAAUAUAUUGAACCGCAUGGUUCAAUAGUGAAAGACGGUUUUGCUGUCACUUCUAGAUAGAUCCGCGCCGCAUUAGCUAGUUGGUAAGGUAACGGCUUACCAAGGCGACGAUGCGUAGCCGACCUGAGAGGGUGAUCGGCCACACUGGAACUGAGACACGGUCCAGACUCCUACGGGAGGCAGCAGUAGGGAAUCUUCCGCAAUGGGCGAAAGCCUGACGGAGCAACGCCGCGUGAGUGAUGAAGGUCUUCGGAUCGUAAAACUCUGUUAUUAGGGAAGAACAAAUGUGUAAGUAACUAUGCACGUCUUGACGGUACCUAAUCAGAAAGCCACGGCUAACUACGUG